rnacentral:rRNA from 1 species
GGAUGAAGUCCCUUGGGAAUCGUUAAACGUCCUUUACGAUUCGGGACGAGUUAUGACGGUACCGGAAGAAGAAGCACCGGCCUAACUCUGUGC